CUGGCAGCGUGCUUACCAUGCAAGUCGAACGAUGAUACCCGCUUGCGGGUGGAUUAGUGGCGAACGGGUGAGUAACACGUGAGUAACCUGCCCUUAACUCUGGGAUAAGCCUGGGAAACUGGGUCUAAUACUGGAUAUUGACUUUUCCUCGCAUGGGGUUUGGUUGAAAGAUUUAUUGGUUUUGGAUGGACUCGCGGCCUAUCAGCUUGUUGGUGAGGUAAUGGCUCACCAAGGCGACGACGGGUAGCCGGCCUGAGAGGGUGACCGGCCACACUGGGACUGAGACACGGCCCAGACUCCUACGGGAGGCAGCAGUGGGGAAUAUUGCACAAUGGGCGAAAGCCUGAUGCAGCGACGCCGCGUGAGGGAUGGACGGCCUUCGGGUUGUAAACCUCUUUCAGUAGGGAACAAGGCCACAUUUUGUGUGGUUGAGGGUACUUGCAGAAGAAGCGCCGGCUAACUACGUGCCAGCGGCCGCGUGUAG
rnacentral:rRNA from 1 species